rnacentral:lncRNA from 1 species
GAGCUAUAACACUGAGAAUAACUUUUAUGAGGCCUUGUGGGAAUCUUGUUCUUUAUGAAAUGCAGUGAUUAUGUUCAGAGGAUGGAAUAAAUGUUCCUGUGAACUUUUUAAAAAUAAAAGGAAGGAAGGAAAGAAAUGAGAGCAUUUGUAGCUUCAGGGGCCACGUACUCUACCACAGGCAGUUUACUGGAUUUCAUGCCCUAGCUUUCACCCUAGAGUGAGGUUAGACACACCUAGAGACUACUCUAAAGAGCAGAAGUUAACUGAUACUCUGUGCCAGCAGGGAAUUGUCAAGUAGUUUCAGUCAUUUGCUCUCUCCUGUAAUGGAUGAUGAAGGCAGAGCAAUGUGAAUCUAAAGUGGAUUCUUUCCAAGGCAUACAAAAGAGAAAACUAAUAGUGUACUCUCACAAGAUUGGUGCUGCCAAGCAAGCACCAGAAUUUAGUCUCUUUCUGCACCACUGACUCCCUCUCCUGAGGACUCAAUGAAUUAGGGCCUCAUCAGCUUGGAAAUAGGAGGAUACAGGGGGAAACUAAUGAUGCAUCACUUCAGGACUUGAAGAAGCAGUUGUUAGUAGCUGACAUGGAGAACAGUUUUGCCUUAUCACAGCAGUAAUGAAAUCUACUGUAUUAAAUAUCACCAGAAUUUGUAACUCCAUUGUGAAGAUUAUCUACGCUAUUGGGAAAUUUCACUGCCUUAUCUCACUCAUUGGGAAAUUCCAUGUAACUAUGAACAUUCAGUAUUGUUGUAUGCCACUGUGUGGGAAACUGCUGAUCACAGCCUGAACCUCAGGUUGACCACCUGAGGCAAGCAAUGAGCCAGCUGUGGAAGCACAGGUGAAGGUAAUUCAGCUGUGCUCCUGGAAGGGGGGAGCUUGGCUCCACCUCUUCUAGACCCCAUUUAAUGGCUGACUGCCACUGAGGGAUGAUCUUUUUCCCUGAAGAUUUGAAGAUUCUUUCUCUGUGGUGUUUAUCGUGAGCCUUCAACACUGGUGAGCAUUUCCAUUUAUUAUCACUUAUCUUGCUAUCGCAGUAAUGCUUUUUAAUGAAGCAUCUGUUCAGAUCUUUGUUUACUUAUUCAUUGUAUGCUUAUUGACUGUACAGCCAUGUUAUCUGAGCAAUAAGCCCCCUCAGUGUUAACUAUGUAACUACAGAAUUCACCCACCUAGAUUUUGUUAAGCAUCAAAUGAGAGAGGUUACUUUUGAUUGAAAUCCACUAAUGUUUUUUCAGAGUAGCUGCAGGUUUUACUCAUCUAUGUUUUGCACAGAACUAGCCAAUAAUGUUAGUACUCAUAAGUCUUUCUCUCUUAUGAACAUUUUGACUUUGUGAAUGUGAUUCCACGAGUUAUUGGUAUUUCUAUAUUUUUGCAAGGAAGGUAUCUCUGUGCUACAUUUAAUCAAAGAAUGAAUUAAAUUAUUGAAUUGUUUUCAGAUGUGGCAAAAAACAUUCUUGUAAAGAUUGAAAUCUACUGUCAGUCGUUUAUACAAGUAUCAUGAAUGACCUUUCCUACACAGAUGAAUACAAUUUGAGUGAAAGACCAGAAUUCAAAUAAGGUUGAUUUGUUUACUGUAAACAUGAAUAAUAUGGUGAGCAUUUACAUGUUCAUUGAGUUAUUUAUUAACAAGUUCAAAUGGAAAAUGUGAAAACACUGGCGUGUGAUUU